UACGUAGGGUGCAAGCGUUGUCCGGAAUCAUUGGGCGUAAAGCGCGCGUAGGCGGCCCGAUAAGUCCGCUGUAAAAGUCAACGGCUCAACUGUUGAAAGCCGGUGGAUACUGUCGGGCUAGAGUACGGAAGAGGCAAGUGGAAUUCCUGGUGUAGCGGUGGAAUGCGCAGAUAUCAGGAGGAACACCUAUAGCGAAGGCAGCUUGCUGGGACGUUACUGACGCUAAGGCGCGAAAGCUAGGGGAGCGAACAGG
rnacentral:rRNA from 1 species